rnacentral:rRNA from 1 species
AUUGAACGCUGGCGGCAGGCCUAACACAUGCAAGUCGAGCGAGAGGCGGGCGGGUGAGUGAUGUCUGGGGAAAUGCCUGCUGGCGGGGGGUAACACCUGGGAACAGUAGCUACAACCGCGUACCCUCAGAUAUGCCCAGAUGGGAUUAGCUAGUGGGGGGGGUAACGGAUCACCUAGGCGACGAUCCCUAGCUGGUCUGAGAGGAUGACCAGCCACACUGGAACUGAGACACGGUCCAGACUCCUACGGGAGGCAGCAGUGGGGAAUCUUGCACAAUGGGCGCAAGCCUGAUGCAGCCAUGCCGCGUGUGUGAAGAAGGCCUUCGGGUUGUAAAGCACUUUCGGCGGGGAGGCGUUACCCGCAGAAGAAGCACCGGCUAACUCCGUGCCAGCAGCCGCGGUAAUAC